rnacentral:rRNA from 1 species
UACGAAGGGGGCUAGCGUUGCUCGGAAUCACUGGGCGUAAAGCGCACGUAGGCGGAUUUCUAAGUCAGGGGUGAAAUCCUGGAGCUCAACUCCAGAACUGCCUUUGAUACUGGGAAUCUCGAGUCCGGGGAGAGGUGAGUGGAACUGCGAGUGUAGAGGUGAAAUUCGUAGAGUAUUCGCAAGAACACCAGUGGCGAAGGCGGA